ensembl:lncRNA
GAUGUCAUGUGAAAGGUCAUAAAGCAAUGGGGAGUUGAACAGAACCUGGCUGCUGCUUGGAGAUUGGCUGUGUAUUUGUUGUGAUGGGUCGCCGGACUCCUUUUUCCCCUGUCAUUCUUAAAAGAAAUGUACCUCGAUGAGCAUCGUUGUAAUAAGAUACGUCACACAGGUAGCUGGAGUCUUUAAGGGAAGGAAAAGAAAUGUUAUUCUCUAAAAGCAAGACAACUUUAUCCUUCACUUUAAAACCUUUCUGCUCAUUACCAAUGUAAAUGAAAAGCUCAGUAUAAUGAAUGAAUAUCAGAAUUAAGUUUCUAUAGAUUAGAUGCAUGACAGACUGCAGUGCUUCUGAAAGUCUAUGGUGGCAGUGGCCUUGAACUAAGGAAAAUUUACAUGACCAACCAUUAUAAUCAAUCCAAUCUGUAUUUUAGAUAUUCCCUAAAUAAAUAUAAAUGUGACAAAUGAAAAUGGCUAUCCUGUACAGGUCAAUGAGUUGUGCUUCAAGAGGAUCGUAAAUACAUACUGAUGCAUAGACUACUGAAAAUGAAAUGGUGAAAUGGGAGCUUGGAAUCUUAUAUAUGUAUAUAUAUAUAUGUAUAUAUAUAUAUAGUAUUCUGCUAAUUAUAGAUCCUGUUAAGAUACUUAAAAUUAUUUUGUUGGCAGACAAGUCUUCGUAAUGAGGAAAAUUGUAUCACAUGUGUGGUCAGUACUGUGGUUAUGUAUGGUGAAUGGUCAGGCAAAAGUGAAGCUCAAAGAAGCGUUCACAAUCAUUUUUUCACAGCAGAGCAAGGAUUUACCAUCUAUGGGGUUUUGGUUUUUUUUCCCUUGUGGGGGAGGUAUGAAGAGUGGAGGGCAUCAGUAACAGCAAUACACCCUCUGAAACUUUCCACCAGUCUUCUCUGCGACUCUGAGCAGAAGAUUCCUUGGCUAUCUAAAGCAUCUUCAUGAGACUAUGUCAGUGGUUUAUGGACUGGUUCAGCCCAGUUCCACAACUAGCGGAAUAUGACAGACUAGCAAGAACUUCAGGCGUUUUCCUUCUGGAGUGGCAGCUGGAAGCCAGCAGGGAAACUUUGAUCCAUCUCGUCUGCUAUUAGACAUCAGUGUUUGGCAAUGGAAUCCCUUUUCACAUCUGAGGUCCUUCUAUGGCCCACCAUGACCCUGAGGGGGUGACAGGAAAGUUCAAAGGGGCUCUCAAAAUGUUUUUACAGUGAAAGAACAGCUGACUACCUUUCCUUUCCAACAGUUACAGUAAUUAUAGCCACUGCUGUUCAUUUCCUUGCAUGAAAAGAGCCAAGGAGUUUCCUGCAACAAAGGUAUCAAACUGCUCUCUGACUAUAACAAGAAUUUGUUUCUUCACGGGAAGAGAAGGGUUGUAAUAAGGGGUUAUACUGAGUCACAUGAACCUGAAGGAAAAGUGAAGUGCGAGGAUCUCAUUCUUCAUUGUUCCACCACCAUCUUCACAACUACAAAAGCAUCAUGUAGAGGUACAAUGCUUCCUAAUGACACCAGUGACCUUUUAUCUCCUCUAUGUGUAGGAGACAAAGAGCCCCAAAAUUUGAACUUUUCUUGAUUUGUUACAGUUCUAAUUCUUCAACACAAGUCAUGUUCUGUUUUCUGAGAUGAGCUUUUAGGCUUAAAUACACAUUUAAAAUUCAAGAAGGUUUUUUUUUUUUUUUAAUGUCAGAAAAUGAAGAGUAUUUGUAGAUAUUUUCUGUUUGUCCAAGUUCCCCACCAUAAUUGAGUAGACAGGAUACUUCCUUCCUUCCCUAAAACCAAUAGGCUUUAUUGUGCAGUCCUUCCCGCAAAGAGUUAAUUGAAGCAAAUAAAGUUCUUAAAUUG